CUUCGACAACUUUUAUUUCCUCCUUGGGGGUACACACACCCUUCCAUAAAAACUUCCCAAUCAACCCUAGAACAACUACUUUCCGUAGUCCCUUAUCCUAUUCUGUAGAGUUUUCAUGUAAACUUUCGUUAUUAACGGUAACACGUCCUCAUUAUUUCUAGCCCAUAGAAGAUCCGUCAGCGUCCUCCGUAAUGGAUGUAAUUUUUUGCACUUUUUCCUUAACCUUUCCAUUAUCAUACUAUUUGCUUCCUCUUGGGUAAAUUCUGUUGGUAGUCUUCCAACAGUUCA